rnacentral:rRNA from 1 species
AUUGAACGCUGGCGGCAUGCCUUACACAUGCAAGUCGAACGGCAGCACGGGAGCAAUCCUGGUGGCGAGUGGCGAACGGGUGAGUAAUAUAUCGGAACGUGCCCAGUAGUGGGGGAUAGCCCGGCGAAAGCCGGAUUAAUACCGCAUACGACCUGAGGGUGAAAGCGGGGGAUCGCAAGACCUCGCGCUAUUGGAGCGGCCGAUAUUAGAUUAGCUUGUUGGUGGGGUAAAAGCCUACCAAGGCGACGAUCUGUAGCUGGUCUGAGAGGACGACCAGCCACACUGGGACUGAGACGCGGCCCAGACUCCUACGGGGGGCAGAAGUGGGGAAUUUUGGACAAUGGGCGCAAGCCUGAUCCAGCCAUGCCGCGUGCGGGAAGAAGGCCUUCGGUUUGUAAACCGCUUUGGUCAGGGAAGAAACGGCUCUUGAUAAUACCGAGAGCUAAUGACGGUACCUGAAGAAUAAGCACCGGCUAACUACGUGCCAGCAGCCGCCGUAA